GUUGUAUUGGCAGAGUUAAUGCUAUAAAUUUAGAAUUUAUUAACGUGAAUUUUUAUUUACAUAUAACA
rnacentral:tRNA from 1 species